rnacentral:rRNA from 1 species
UACAGAGGUCCCAAGCGUUGUUCGGAUUCACUGGGCGUAAAGGGUGCGUAGGCGGUCGGGUAAGUCUGACGUGAAAUCUUCAAGCUUAACUUGGAAACUGCGUCGGAUACUAUUCAGCUAGAGGAAUGGAGGGGAGACUGGAAUACUUGGUGUAGCAGUGAAAUGCGUAGAUAUCAAGUGGAACACCAGUGGCGAAGGCGAGUCUCUGGACAUUUCCUGACGCUGAGGCACGAAAGCCAGGGGAGCAAACGGG